UGAGGAAUUUUCCGCAAUGGGCGAAAGCCUGACGGAGCGACACCGCGUGAAGGAUGAAGCUUUUCGGAGUGUAAACUUCUUUUAUAUGUGAAGAUUAUGACGGUAACAUAUGAAUAAGCACCGGCUAACUACGUGCCAGCAGCCGCGGUAAUACGUAGGGUGCAAGCGUUAUUCGGAUUUACUGGGCGUAAAGCGUGCGUAGGCGGUUAUGUAAGUUGGAUAUUAAAUUUACGGGCUCAACUCGUAAGCUGUAUCUAAUACUGCAUAACUUGAGAGUGGAAGAGGCAGACGGAAUUCCUGGUGGAGCGGUAGAAUGCGUAGAUAUCAGGAGGAACACCAAUGGCGAAGGCAGUCUGCUGGGACACUUCUGACGCUAAGGCACGAAAGCGUGGGUAGCGAU
rnacentral:rRNA from 1 species